rnacentral:rRNA from 1 species
GCAUAUCAAUAAGCGGAGGAAAAGAAACCAACAGGGAUUGCCCUAGUAACGGCGAGUGAAGCGGCAACAGCUCAAAUUUGAAAUCUGGCUCUCGGGCCCGAGUUGUAAUUUGUAGAGGAUACUUUUGAUGCGGUGCCUUCCGAGUUCCCUGGAACGGGACGCCAUAGAGGGUGAGAGCCCCGUCUGGUUGGAUGCCAAAUCUCUGUAAAGUUCCUUCGACGAGUCGAGUAGUUUGGGAAUGCUGCUCUAAAUGGGAGGUAUAUGUCUUCUAAAGCUAAAUACCGGCCAGAGACCGAUAGCGCACAAGUAGAGUGAUCGAAAGAUGAAAAGCACUUUGAAAAGAGAGUUAAAAAGUACGUGAAAUUGUUGAAAGGGAAGCGUUUAUGACCAGACUUGGGCUUGGUUAAUCAUCUGGGGUUCUCCCCAGUGCACUUUUCCAGUCCAGGCCAGCAUCAGUUUUCCCCGGGGGAUAAAGACUUCGGGAAUGUGGCUCUCUUCGGGGAGUGUUAUAGCCCGUUGUGUAAUACCCUGGGGGGGACUGAGGUUCGCGCAUCUGCAAGGAUGCUGGCGUAAUGGUCAUCAACGACCCGUCUUGAAACACGGACCAAGGAGUCGUCUUCGUAUGCGAGUGUUCGGGUGUCAAACCCCUACGCGUAAUGAAAGUGAACGCAGGUGAGAGCUUCGGCGCAUCAUCGACCGAUCCUGAUGUUCUCGGAUGGAUUUGAGUAAGAGCAUACGGGGCCGGACCCGAAAGAAGGUGAACUAUGCCUGUAUAGGGUGAAGCCAGAGGAAACUCUGGUGGAGGCUCGCAGCGGUUCUGACGUGCAAAUCGAUCGUCAAAUAUGGGCAUGGGGGCGAAAGACUAAUCGAACCUUCUAGUAGCUGGUUUCCGCCGAAGUU